UACGUAGGGGGCAAGCGUUGUCCGGAUUUAUUGGGCGUAAAGCGCUCGCAGGUGGUCCGUUGCGUCGAGUGUGAAAGCCCCCGGCUCAACUGGGGAGGGUCACUCGAUACUGAUCGACUUGAAGGCAGGAGAGGGAAGCGGAAUUCCCGGUGUAGUGGUGAAAUGCGUAGAUAUCGGGAGGAACACCAGUGGCGAAGGCGCUCAUCUGGCCCAAUACUGACGCUG
rnacentral:rRNA from 1 species